AAAACCUUCACCCCAAAUAUCAUCAGUCGGAAGAUCAAGGAAGAGCCCAAGGAAGAAGUAACUGUCAAGAAGGAGAAGCGUGAAAGAGACAGAGACCGACAACGAGAGGGGCAUGGACGAGGGCGAGGCCGUCCAGAAGUGAUCCAGUCUCACUCCAUCUUUGAGCAGGGCCCAGCCGAAAUGAUGAAGAAAAAAGGGAACUGGGAUAAGACAGUGGAUGUGUCAGACAUGGGACCUUCUCAUAUCAUCAACAUCAAAAAAGAGAAGAGAGAGACAGACGAAGAAACUAAACAGAUCUUGCGUAUGCUGGAGAAGGACGAUUUCCUCGAUGACCCCGGCCUGAGGAACGACACUCGAAAUAUGCCUGUGCAGCUGCCGCUGGCUCACUCAGGAUGGCUUUUUAAGGAAGAAAAUGACGAACCAGAUGUUAAACCUUGGCUGGCUGGCCCCAAGGAAGAGGACAUGGAGGUGGACAUACCUGCUGUGAAAGUGAAAGAGGAGCCACGAGAUGAGGAGGAAGAGGCCAAGAUGAAGGCUCCUCCCAAAGCAGCCAGGAAGACUCCAGGCCUCCCGAAGGAUGUAUCUGUGGCAGAGCUGCUGAGGGAGCUGAGCCUCACCAAGGAAGAGGAACUGCUGUUUCUGCAGCUGCCAGACACCCUCCCUGGCCAGCCACCCACCCAGGACAUCAAGCCUAUCAAGACAGAGGUGCAGGGCGAGGACGGACAGGUGGUGCUCAUCAAGCAGGAGAAAGACCGAGAAGCCAAGUUGGCAGAGAAUGCUUGUACCCUGGCUGACCUGACAGAGGGUCAGGUUGGCAAGCUACUCAUCCGCAAGUCUGGAA
rnacentral:sRNA from 1 species